UGAUUCUUCAGCUGAGUAUCACAGUUGGGCCUGUAGACUGUUGACUCUCCUCCACAGAAGGAAGGCUGGGGAGGGGGGCGGUCAUAGGACCCUCCCCUGAACGUCCAGCCACUCCUCCCAGCAUUUGUGCGCAGUUGGCCCCAACUGUGCCUGGGAGGGGGGUGUCUCACGGAGGUGCUGGAGAACACAGGCAGGAAAGCUAACGAGAGUGAGUUGCAUACAGCCGGGAAGUAGGGGUGUCCUCCAACGCUGGGCGCAGACCUUCCGAUGCUUUAGAGUCACCCGGAGUCCCUCCUCUGACCCGUCCACGAUGCUCUGGGAUUGAGGCACCUCCCUAGUGAAAACGGAUGCGACUGUGGUUUCUCCGAGUCUCGGAGUAUCUUACUCCACCUUCUAGAAGCGUCUUCCUGUGUCUGACUCAGAAGUCCCAGUGUGAAGACCUGACCGGCUUACGCAGUCAGAACAGCAAGUGUCCGGAACGUUGACUUGGAAAGCGUCCUGAAUGCAGCGAGCUUCCACUGCAGGCUGAGAUUCAUUAUCCCUGAGAAAAAUAAUAUUUACCCACUCCAGAGGGCCUGGAAACAUCAUGGAAGGCCCCAAGUCAAGAUGGAGGUGGGGAGGAACAAGGCACUGUUUAGUUUUUCACUUCCAAAACAGGCCCACAAGUUUUAAUGACUGCUUG